rnacentral:rRNA from 1 species
GACGAACGCUGGCGGCGUGCUUAACACAUGCAAGUCGAACGGAAAGGCCCUGCUUGCAGGGUACUCGAGUGGCGAACGGGGGAGUAACACGUGGGUGAUCUGCCCUGCACUUCGGGAUAAGCCUGGGAAACUGGGUCUAAUACCGGAUAGAAGCCAUUUUGAGUGUGAUGGUUGGAUAGUUUUUUCGGUGUGGGAUGGGCUCGCGGCCUAUCAGCUUGUUGGUGGGGUAAUGGCCUACCAAGGCGGCGACGGGUAGCCGGCCUGAGAGGGUGGACGGGCACAUUUGGACUGAGAUACGGCCCAGACUCCUACGGGAGGCAGCAGUGGGGAAUAUUGCACAAGGGGCGGAAGCCUGAUGCAGGGACGCCGCGGGGGGGAUGACGGCCUUCGGGUUGUAAACUCCUUUCGCUAGGGACGAAGCUUUUUGUGACGGUACCUAGAUAAGAAGCACCGGCUAACUACGUG